rnacentral:piRNA from 1 species
UGGUGACACAGAUCGUAUUUCUCUAC